GGGGCACCCAGUAUGGGAUAUGGGGUGCCCAGUGCUCAGCGUAGGGUAUGGGGCGCCCAGCACGGGCUAUGGGGCACCCAGCACGGGCUAUGGGUGCCAUGAUGUGGGGUCCCAUCCCGCUCGCCCUAGGCCGGCCGCUACGACUGCUGCUGCUGCUGCGGGACGGGGCAGCGGGGCCACGCGGGACCGGGGCUGCGGCUGCUGCGCCCCUUCCUGCGCCGCUUCUACACCCCCGUCCUCCUGCACCGCUGCAUCCGGCCCCUCGUGGUGCUGCUGUUCCUCUUCUUCUCCUUCGCGGGGCUGUACCUGAUGCUGCAGGUGGAGGUGGGGCUGGACCAGGAGCUCGCGAUGCCCACGGACUCGUACAUGCUGCCGUUCUUCUCGGACAUGGUGCGCUUCCUGCAGGUGGGCGUCCCCACCUACUUCGUCACCACCGGGGGCUACAACUUCUCCAGCCCCGAGGGCACCAACGGGAUCUGCUCCAGCGCCGGCUGCGACAACGACUCGCUGACGCAGACCAUCCAGCGCGCCACGCAGUUCCCCAACGUGUCCUACCUGGCCAUCCCCGCCACCUCCUGGGUGGACGAUUUCCUGGAUUGGCUCAACCCCACCGGGCGCUGCUGCCGCAUCCACCGCUAUGGGGAGCUCAGCGGGCAGUUCUGCCCCUCCACCAGCAGUG
rnacentral:lncRNA from 1 species